CAGGGGCUGGAGCUCUGACCCCCAGGAACCAGCUCCCCCUUCCCAGGGCUCUGACCAUGUUUCUCUUUGUUUUUCAGGGCGCCCUGUUCCCCAACCUGCAGGGCUCCUGAGUUAGAUCCUGGGCGUCGGAUCCUCCGGCCGGCAGGAGUUUCCGUCCAUGUCUCCCAGCACUUUGCCCAGCCCGGAGAAUGCAGAACCUGGGGCCGGUCGCUUCGUGUCACCGUCUGCUCCCUGCGCUCUGCCCGGCUCCAGCUGCGCUGCCCCCCCGGGGACUCGUCCCUGCCCCUCGGUCUCUGCAAGGCCCUGGGGCAACCCUGUCCCGCUGUCUGGAGAGGCUCACGAGUGCCAACCUCAUCUAGUAACAGCCUAACGAGACUGUUAGGAGCCAGGGCACAAACCCCAAAUUGGCUGAGUUCUAUACUUAGAUCUUACCAAGGCAUCAAGUGUGAACUCUGCAGGCCCUGUAACAACCGAGUCCUGGAGUCACAGUCCCCUGGGGCUCUCCGAUCUCUCUGGCCACCCUGGGCAGCCUGCCCUUGUGAUUGAUUGAUCGUCCCUUCCUCCACAAAUCACAGCGAUAUUCGGUCACUCCCUGUCCCAAAGAGCCAGUCACUCACUCCAGGGCAGCGGCACCUUCGAUCUCACUGCACAGACAACGCUUGUAGCCAACUCUGUGAUAACCUCAGUAAAGAUUUGUUACCUAA